UACGUAGGGGGCUAGCGUUGUCCGGAAUCAUUGGGCGUAAAGCGCGUGUAGGCGGCCCGGUAAGUCCGCUGUGAAAGUCGGGGGCUCAACCUUUGAAAGCCGGUGGAUACUGGAUGGCUAGAGUACGGAAGAGGCGAGUGGAAUUCCUGGUGUAGCGGUGGAAUGCGCAGAUAUCAGGAGGAACACCAAUAGCGAAGGCAGCUCGCUGGGACGUACUGACACUGAGGCGCGAAAGCGUGGGGAGCGAACAGG
rnacentral:rRNA from 1 species